AAACAUAGCCUUUAGCAAACCAAGUAUUAAAGGUGACGCCUGCCCAGUGAAACUUUAACGGCCGCGGUAUCCUAACCGUGCAAAGGUAGCGUAAUCACUUGUCUUAUAAAUAAAGACCUGUAUGAACGGCUAAAUGAAUAUUCAACUGUCUCCUUUAAUCAGUCAGUGAAACUGAUCUUUCAGUACAAAAGCUGAGAUAUUAUCAUAAGACGAGAAGACCCUGUGGAGCUUUAAAUUUUUACCAGGACAUUUUUACAAGAUGUGCCCAUGCGAAAAAAUUUUAAGUUUGGGGCGACUUUUGGAGAACAACAAAACCCUCCAAUAACAAGCACUGCUAAACAAAGGCCCUACAAGCCCAAAACAACCCAAGACCCCAGUACCACUGAUCAGCGAACCCAAGUUACCCCCAGGGAUAACAGCGCCCAUCUUCUUCAAGAGUUUCAUAUCGACAAGAAGGUUUUACGACCCUCGAUGUUUGGAUCAGGACACCCCAAAUGGUGCAGCCCGCUAUUAAAGGUU
rnacentral:rRNA from 1 species